AAGUGGAGGAUUGGGUCUGCACUGAAUGACAUGGCAUAGUGAGAUUCUCAUUCCUCCAUUUAG
rnacentral:pre_miRNA from 1 species